AAUGUAGUUGAAAAAAAAAAAAAAAAACCUCCUGCUCUCCUUCCCCAUUUCAGUUUAGCGAACGCGAACGCGAACGCAAACCCAAACCAAACUCUCCGGACGGAAAAAUAUAAGACCGUUUCAGAACAUUCUGGAAGGCUCCAGGUGUUGCCAUCUCCGAAUCAAGGUUCUCAUUUCAAAUCAGUUGGAGCUUUAACCAAAGGAAGUUUGAAUCUCAAUUCCAUUCAAUUCUCACCCGUUUCCCCUAUUUCCACCCUAGUCUCUGUCAAGAGGAGGAAUUUUGACCAUUGAAAAGAUACAAAAAAAAGUAAUUUUUUCUUUAGAAAUCAAAAGUUCUCCGAAUCCCUGAAUUUCAAAUUUAAAUCAUUGUUCUUAUUGUUUUCGUUUCCGGCGAAGUUAAGCUCGGAAUCGUGGUGGAAGUAUUGCUCUUCUCGUCCAUCCCAGUUGUGCAGGACGGACCGUCGAUGCCACCGUUGGUUGCACCUGCAGAUUUUUCUGAAAAAAAUGAUUUUUGGUCUAUUUUUGCUACGGGGUGUUACAGUAACUGACUGCGUACUCCGGGAAGAUACACCAAAGCCUAUGAACGAGGGCAAUUGUCCACUGGCUACAAUUGGAUGUUGAAAUCAAUCACCGGAAAGUAA